UCAUUAGUGAGGUGUAUCCUUACCUAUUGUUCUCUCAUAGAGAACCUCAGAACAUGAUGAUUGCAGAUCUUAUGAGAUAUGAUUAUAUCUUCUUACUGGCUGAGCGUAACAACUAUCCAGGUUUCUGUUCUGAC
ensembl:snoRNA U8 U8 small nucleolar RNA